GCAUGUAAACUACACGGUUUCUAGAGUGUUAGGCGAGCGAGACGCGAGCGUAAUUUCCAUACGCGCUUCUUUCAAGUCCGUCGCAUUUUUAAUUUCCCGUUCCCGUGUUUUCAGAGAAAAUAGGAAUUUAUUGUGACCACCCCGAGAGUGAAAAGUUGAAUUUUCACCAGAUCUCGACGUUUCAAGGCCUAGAGAAUCACCUCCAAUUAUUUUCAGAUGGACGCCCGUGUGUCUUGUAACGGGUAUGAAGACGAAAAGUUCACAGGCUGGAUCAUGGUCAGCCCAAAUCCACUUUUUUUCUUCAAUUUAAGGAGAACAAAAAAUUUCAGCAGCCUGGAAACUUCUCAAUGCGCAAAUGAAAAUCAAUCUAAGGGGGGGAAUAUUCGAUAGUCCAGCAUGCUUUGCGAUUAUUUGGCGCGAGGCAGCACCUGUCGAGCCUUUUGCCACGCCGUUCAGUUACCUGCAUGUCCGAGCGGCCAGUCGCUAUUCGCAUUCACGGUGAGUAAACUCAUGCAACAAAUUUAUUUCUCAUAAUUCCAUGUAUAAAACAACAAGUCUUAUCGCCUUGCCAGAUACGAAUCAGCCUGACUUCCGUCUCAAAUCCUUCACCUCACAUCCUCUGAUCCCGCUUAAAAAUAUGUAAUUCGGAAAAAAAAUAAACGUAACGUACUAUUUUCACACACAGACGAUGUUUCUUACGCUAAACAGUGAACGAGAAGGAAAAAAAUAUCGGUGAACGUAUCGGGAUUGCAAAGAUGUGUUAAAAAAGGAAAGGUAAAAAUUUCUCGAGGACUCACAUGCACGUAUCAUUCCCUUCGAAAUUAACUCUCGUUUCGUUCCCACGUAAUUAUAAUUAUAGUUUCGUUGCAACAAUGCUAUUACGUCUCUUUUCAAGUUCAUUGUCAGUUAUAACAGGAACCCGGUGUUUUUCUAGGCUCAUUUUUUCUCCCCUCAUCCACAAGUCGGACAACCAGUCGUCGCUUGUGCAUCUCAUCUAUGCAUAUAAUACAUAUGUAGGUAUGUAGGGCGUAUGUACCUGUGUAUAACUGUCAUUGAUUUUAGCCGAGUGGAAAUCUAAAGCGACCAUGCUAAAUCAACUCGCUAAAAAAACGUUCGUGAUUUUACGUUUUGUGGGAGAUUUGAAUUACAAAUUUUAACAGUGCAAACGUUUCACCCACCGAUCUAUACAGACGAUCCCCUCUUUUGUAUACGGCAAACUUGAAUUUAUCUCAGUCAUUCGAUGUCAGGUCGUUAAUUUUUAGUUCAGUCACUAAUUCAACGACCGCGUUAAUAAGUUGAACAGAUACAACCUGCGGUAAAAACUGUUAAUUUAACCAUAAUUAUACUUUACGUAACACCUUGUUCGUGUUUAUUCCAGGUACCAGAAGAUCAACGAGAUACUGAUAUUGUUGUGCCUUGUGGUUUUUUUUUCUUCUUUUUUAUCUAGUUCGUACUUUACUUUUGUUUAUCUUGCGAUGCGGUCGCGAUUCCAGCGACCGUGUAAUUAGAUUCUGAGUCAACAAUAUGCAUUGCGUGGAAUCACGCUCUACGUUCAUAAUAAUAUGUAGUUUUUAUUUUCUUCAUACUUCAAACAACAACCGCGGUUCUGAUUGGAGCACGUUCAGGAUGAAUAAUAUAAUUAUUGAUCAAGCAUUAUACAAAUAGAGAGUAAGAAUUGAAAAUUUUCCAAUAAAAUGCUAUAA
rnacentral:lncRNA from 1 species